rnacentral:rRNA from 1 species
UACGUAGGGGGCAAGCGUUGUCCGGAAUCAUUGGGCGUAAAGAGCGCGUAGGCGGCCCAGUAAGUCCGCUCUGAAAGUCAGGGGGCUCAACCCCCUGGAUGCGGGUGGAUACUGCUGGGCUAGAGUCCGGAAGAGGUGAGUGGAAUUCCUGGUGUAGCGGUGAAAUGCGCAGAUAUCAGGAAGAACACCCGUGGCGAAGGCGGCUCUCUGGGGACGGUACUGACGCUGAGACGCGAAAGCGUGGGGAGCGAACAGGG